rnacentral:rRNA from 2 species
AUUCGUGACUGGGGUGAAGUCGUAACAAGGUAGCCGUAUCGGAAGGUGCGGCUGGAUCACCUCCUUU